AGAGUUUGAUCAUGGCUCAGGACGAACGCUGGCGGCGUGCCUAACACAUGCAAGUCAAGGACUGUAGCAAUACAGGACUGGCGCACGGGUGCGGAACACGUAGGUAAUCUGCCCUUUAGGGGAGAACAACCAGCCGAAAGGUUGGCUAAAUCUCCGUAACAUCGAGGUGUGGCAUCACAUCACGAUCAAGCUUUCUAAAGGAUGAGCCUGCGUCUGAUUAGCUAGUUGGUAGUGUAAUGGACUACCAAGGCUACGAUCAGUAGCUGGUCUGAGAGGAUGAUCAGCCACAUUGGGACUGAGACACGGCCCAGACUCCUACGGGAGGCAGCAGUGAGGAAUAUUGCUCAAUGGACGAAAGUCUGAAGCAGCAACGCCGCGUGAGGGAUGAAGGUGCUUUGCAUUGUAAACCUCUGUAGUCGGGGACAAAUGACGAGUUACUACUCGUGUGAUGGUACCCGAAAAGUAAGGAUCGGCUAACUACGUGCCAGCAGCCGCGGUAAUACGUAGGAUCCAAGCGUUGUCCGGAUUUACUGGGUGUAAAGGGUGCGCAGGCGGACUGGUUAGUCUGGGGUGAAAUCUCAUCGCUUAACGGUGAAACUGCCUUAGAUACUGCCAGUCUUGAAUCAGCGAGAGAUAUGCGGAAUUCCGAGUGUAGCAGUGAAAUGUGUAGAUAUUCGGAAGAACACCAGUGGCGAAGGCAGCAUAUUGACGCUCGAUUGACGCUCAGGCACGAAAGCAUGGGGAUCAAACAGGAUUAGAUACCCUAGUAGUCC
rnacentral:rRNA from 1 species